AUUGAACGCUGGCGGCAUGCUUUACACAUGCAAGUCGAACGGCAGCACGGGUGCUUGCACCUGGUGGCGAGUGGCGGACGGGUGAGUAAUGCAUCGGAACGUGUCCUGAAGUGGGGGAUAACGCAUCGAAAGAUGUGCUAAUACCGCAUAUUCUCUGAGGAGGAAAGUAGGGGAUCGAAAGACCUUAUGCUUUUGGAGCGGCCGAUGUCUGAUUAGCUAGUUGGUAGGGUAAUGGCUUACCAAGGCGACGAUCAGUAGUUGGUCUGAGAGGACGACCAGCCACACUGGGACUGAGACACGGCCCAGACUCCUACGGGAGGCAGCAGUGGGGAAUUUUGGACAAUGGGCGCAAGCCUGAUCCAGCAAUGCCGCGUGAGUGAAGAAGGCCUUCGGGUUGUAAAGCUCUUUCAGUUGAGAAGAAAAAGUCGUGACUAAUAAUCAUGAUUCAUGACGGUAUCAACAGAAGAAGCACCGACUAACUGCGUG
rnacentral:rRNA from 1 species